GAUGAACGCUGGCGGCGUGCCUAAUACAUGCAAGUCGAGCGAACGGACGAGAAGCUUGCUUCUCUGAUGUUAGCGGCGGACGGGUGAGUAACACGUGGAUAACCUACCUAUAAGACUGGGAUAACUUCGGGAAACCGGAGCUAAUACCGGAUAAUAUUUUGAACCGCAUGGUUCAAAAGUGAAAGACGGUCUUGCUGUCACUUAUAGAUGGAUCCGCGCUGCAUUAGCUAGUUGGUAAGGUAACGGCUUACCAAGGCAACGAUGCAUAGCCGACCUGAGAGGGGGAUCGGCAACAUGGGACAUGAGCCCCGGCCCGGCCUCCUGAGGGAGGCAGGAGUGGGGAAUCUUCCGCAAGGGGCAAAAGCCGGAAGGAGAAAACCCGGGGGAGUGAAGAAGGUCUUGGGAUCGUAAAACUUUUUUAUUGGGAAAAAAAAUAUGUCUAAGUCACUGUGCCAACUUUGAGUGUACCUAAUAAGAAAGCCCCGCCAAACCGCUU
rnacentral:rRNA from 1 species